rnacentral:rRNA from 1 species
UACGAAGGGGGCUAGCGUUGCUCGGAAUCACUGGGCGUAAAGGGUGCGUAGGCGGGUCUUUAAGUCAGGGGUGAAAUCCUGGAGCUCAACUCCAGAACUGCCUUUGAUACUGAAGAUCUUGAGUUCGGGAGGUGAGUGGAACUGCGAGUGUAGAGGUGAAAUUCGUAGAUAUUCGGAAGAACACCAGUGGCGAAGGCGGCUCACUGGCCCGGUACUGACGCUGAGGUGCGAAAGCGUGGGGAGCAAACAGG